CCUAACACAUGCAAGUCGAACGGUAACAGGAAGAAGCUUGCUUCUUUGCUGACGAGUGGCGGACGGGUGAGUAAUGUCUGGGAAACUGCCUGAUGGAGGGGGAUAACUACUGGAAACGGUAGCUAAUACCGCAUAACGUCGCAAGACCAAAGAGGGGGACCUUCGGGCCUCUUGCCAUCGGAUGCGCCCAGAUGGGAUUAGCUAGUAGGUGGGGUAACGGCUCACCUAGGCGACGAUCCCUAGCUGGUCUGAGAGGAUGACCAGCCACACUGGAACUGAGACACGGUCCAGACUCCUACGGGAGGCAGCAGUGGGGAAUAUUGCACAAU
rnacentral:rRNA from 1 species